rnacentral:rRNA from 1 species
GCGACUUAUAUUCUGUAGCAAGGUUAACCGAAUAGGGGAGCCGGAGGGAAACCGAGUCUUAAUUGGGCGUUAAGUUGCAGGGUAUAGACCCGAAACCCGGUGAUCUAGCCAUGGGCAGGUUGAAGGUUGGGUAACACUAACUGGAGGACCGAACCGACUAAUGUUGAAAAAUUAGCGGAUGACCUGUGGCUGGGGGUGAAAGGCCAAUCAAACCGGGAGAUAGCUGGUUCUCCCCGAAAGCUAUUUAGGUAGCGCCUCGUGAAUUCAUCUCCGGGGGUAGAGCACUGUUUCGGCUAGGGGGCCAUCCCGGCUUACCAACCCGAUGCAAACUGCGAAUACCGGAGAAUGUUAUCACGGGAGACACACGGCGGGUGCUAACGUCCGUCGUGAAGAGGGAAACAACCCAGACCGCCAGCUAAGGUCCCAAAGUCAUGGUUAAGUGGGAAACGAUGUGGGAAGGCCCAGACAGCCAGGAUGUUGGCUUAGAAGCAGCCAUCAUUUAAAGAAAGCGUAAUAGCUCACUGGUCGAGUCGGCCUGCGCGGAAGAUGUAACGGGGCUAAACCAU